rnacentral:rRNA from 1 species
UACGUAGGGUGCGAGCGUUAAUCGGAAUUACUGGGCGUAAAGCGUGCGCAGGCGGUUCGUUGUGUCGGCGGUGAAAGCCCCGGGCUUAACCUGGGAAUGGCCGUUGAAACUGGCGAACUGGAGUGUGGCAGAGGGGGGUGGUAUUCCGCGUGUAGCAGUGAAAUGCGUAGAGAUGCGGAGGAACACCGAUGGCGAAGGCAGCCCCCUGGGCUAACACUGACGCUCAGGCACGAAAGCGUGGGGAGCAAACAGG